rnacentral:lncRNA from 1 species
UAGGGUAUCCAUACGAGAAAGAUCUGAUCAAAAGAUUCCGAUCUCAUCGGGGUGCUAGCUCCCUUGUGGAGAUCAUUUUUUGGAUUAUUGAAUUAAUUCCUCUUUUGAUUCUCUUCUUAAGAGAACCAAAUAGAUCUAUCGUAGGAGGAAGAAAUCAUAUCUAAUCUGAUUUCUUCUUUCCUUUUUCUCUCUCAAGAGAAAUGAAAGAAGAUCUAGAGGAAGAAUCUGAGAGAUCAAAUCUCUCUUCUUUCUUUUCAUCCAACUCUUGGAUUAAUCUAAAGAAGAAGGAGAUGGAGAAGACAUCCAACUCUUGGACAAAGAGGAAGAAAGAGAGGAAGAGGGAG